rnacentral:piRNA from 1 species
UCACUUAAAUGUUUUUGUUGAGGGAGAG